UGGAAAGCAUCUAGUACAAUUAUCAGUGAUGGUAGUAAUUAUUAUAAUACACCCCAGAGGGAGUGUUUGGCAACUUUUCACAAUGUAACAACACCAUCUCAACUUUGGAAUUCCUUAUCUGGUAUAUUCUACGGAAUCUUCAGAAGCUAUUGAUUUCCACAUCAUUGUCUCUACUUUAUUCCUAUACAUACAGAUAAAGAAAUUUCCUAUGCACAUACAAGCUUACUGUUGAAGUCCUCUCAUCCAAUGCACUCAGAACGGGACUGUAAGUCCAGCUGCUGUGUAUCAUCACCUCAGCCCGAUUGGUCCUCGGCCACACUUCACUUCAGCUUCUGAUAGGUCCUGGGCCAAGCUAAGCAGCAUCUAUGAAUCAUUUCACCUCCUGACUGGUCCCGGGCCAAGCCGAGUCACGCAUUCGCCAAGACAGCCCCCAGACUAAGCACAUUCCUUCCCCUUCCGUCCAUAAAAACCUGGACCCCAGCCUCAUGAUGGGCACUCCCGUUCGGGACCCCCUCUCUGCUGGCAGAGAGCUUUCUUCUUUCACCUUAUUAAACUUUCACUCUAACCUCACCUUUGUGUCCGUGCUCCAUAAUCGUCUUGGAGGUGGGACAAGAACUCCAGGUGUUAUCUCAGACAACGAAAGACUGUUUCAAUAAUGUAGUAUAUAAGUGGACAAGAACUCCAGGUGUUAUCUCAGACAACGAAAGACUGUUUCAAUAAUAUAGUAUAUAAG
rnacentral:lncRNA from 1 species